GUUAAGUUCACGCCGCCACCUCCCAGGGGUGGAAAAGCACAAGAAAAGGGAUGGUCAUUUUGAGCAAAAGCGCAAAAAAUGCGAAAAACGUAACCUAUCAACGGUGAAAAGAUCGAAACUAUUGCUGCUUUGAAUCUUGAAAUGUGUAUACAAUAACUGCCUCUUUUUAUAGAUACUAAUUAUAUGCUUUAAACUUGAGGCAGCAAAUUGGAUAUUUUUUCAGCCAUUGGCAUCGUUAGACACCAUUGUUUAUCACUGAUUUAAAAUUCCUUCACGUCCUAUUGGCACGUUCAACUAUUACAAUGUAUCAUUCUGGAACCGUUUAAAACCAUUGCACGGAAGUUUGAAGGUCAUACCAAUGACAAACUGUACAGAGGAUCCUUUGUUAAUUAUUCGUUUAUCAUGUUACAUCGUAUAUUUUAAAUAAAAAUCUUAAUUAAAU
rnacentral:misc_RNA from 1 species